rnacentral:rRNA from 1 species
GCCGUCCUACGGGAGGCAGCAGUGAGGAAUAUUGGUCAAUGGGCGGGAGCCUGAACCAGCCACGCCGCGUGAGGGAAGAAGGUACAGCGUAUCGUAAACCUCUUUUGUCAGGGAACAAAGGCGGGGACUAGUCCCCGGAUGAGGGUACCUGAAGAGAAAGCAUCGGCUAACUCCGUGCCAGCAGCCGCGGUAAUACGGAGGAUGCGAGCGUUAUCCGGAUUUAUUGGGUUUAAAGGGUGCGUAGGCGGGCAUUUAAGCCGGCGGUCAAAUGUCGGGGCUCAACCCCG